AAAGGAUCUGAGUAUGAUAAAAGAACAGGCCUCGUAACCGAAUAAAGCAUACCUUUCUCGGCCUUUUGGCUAAGAUCAAGUGUAGUAUCUGUUCUUAUCAGUUUAAUAUCUGAUAUGUGGGCCAUUGGCUCACACGAUAUUAAAUUAAUUUUUUAAGGGGGAGAGUCCUACACAAUAGCUUGCUAUUGGGGCUCUCGAGUGUCGUCCUGGUGUUGCACUACUGCCCGGACCUGGCACACCCCACCAAUUCUA
rnacentral:snRNA from 1 species